rnacentral:rRNA from 1 species
AUUGAACGCUGGCGACAUGCCUUACACAUGCAAGUCGAACGGCAGCACGGGUGCUUGCACCUGGUGGCGAGUGGCGAACGGGUGAGUAAUACAUCGGAACAUGUCCUGUAGUGGGGGAUAGCCCGGCGAAAGCCGGAUUAAUACCGCAUACGAUCUACGGAUGAAAGCGGGGGACCUUCGGGCCUCGCGCUAUAGGGUUGGCCGAUGGCUGAUUAGCUAGUUGGUGGGGUAAAGGCCUACCAAGGCGACGAUCAGUAGCUGGUCUGAGAGGACGACCAGCCACACGGGGACUGAGACACGGCCCAGACUCCUACGGGAGGCAGCAGUGGGGAAUUUUGGACAAUGGGCGAAAGCCUGAUCCAGCAAUGCCGCGUGUGUGAAGAAGGCCUUCGGGUUGUAAAGCACUUUUGUCCGGAAAGAAAUCCUUGGCCCUAAUACGGUCGGGGGAUGACGGUACCGGAAGAAUAAGCACCGGCUAACUACGUG